GAUGAACGCUGACAGAAUGCUUAACACAUGCAAGUCGACUUGAAUUUGGGUUUUUAACUUCGGUUUGGGUGGCGGACGGGUGAGUAACGCGUAAAGAACUUGCCUCACAGCUAGGGACAACAUUUGGAAACGAAUGCUAAUACCUAAUAUUAUGAUAAUAGGGCAUCCUAUAAUUAUGAAAGCUAUAAGCGCUGUGAGAGAGCUUUGCGUCCCAUUAGCUAGUUGGAGAGGUAACGGCUCACCAAGGCGAUGAUGGGUAGCCGGCCUGAGAGGGUGAUCGGCCACAAGGGGAAUGAGAAACGGCCCUUACACCAACGGGAGGCAGCAGUGGGGAAGAUUGGACAAUGGACCGAGAGUCUGAUCCAGCAAUUCUGUGUGCACGAUGAAGUUUUUCGGAAUGGAAAGUGCUUUCAGUUGGGAAGAAACAAAUGACGGUACCAACAGAAGAAGUGACGGCUAAAUACGUG
rnacentral:rRNA from 1 species